rnacentral:tRNA from 1 species
GCGCCCGUAGCUCAAUUGGAUAGAGCGGUUGACUACGGAUCAAGAGGUUAGGGGUUCGCCUCCUCUCGGGCGCG